ACGGAGGGAGCAAGCGUUGUUCGGAUUUACUGGGCGUAAAGGGCGUCUAGGCUGAUUUAAAAGUCAGAUGUGAAACCCCCCGGCUCAACCGGGGAUCUGCAUUUGAUACUGUAAGUCUUGAGUACGGAAGAGGAGAGCGGAAUUCCUGGUGUAGCGGUGAAAUGCGUAGAUAUCAGGAGGAACACCGGUGGCGAAGGCAGCUCUCUGGACCAGUUCUGACACUCAUGCGCGAAAGCGUGGGUAGCAAACAG
rnacentral:rRNA from 1 species